rnacentral:lncRNA from 1 species
GGGUGGGGGAGGACCGGGAAGGAGAGGGCGCCCUGCUCUGCCCUUGGGCUGCGCCUCUGUGAGCCAGAGCACGGGAGAGGCAGGAAUUCCCUCUCCUGCCACCACCAUAAAAUGCGGGAAUGUUUCUGGAUGGCUGCGAGGAGUCCUGCCUGGCCCUCAGGAGUCACCCUUUGUACGGCCCCCCGGCUCAUCACGCUCCCCGCCGGCGCGGGCAGCCCCGACGCACGGGAAUGCCCCUGCGGGGCCGCGCAGCUCCUUAAGUAGCAGCGUGCGGCAGCGGCCCCGGCCCGCGUUCUGCUGUCUUCCCGGGACUCCUGCGGCGGGCGUGACGCCAGCCAUGCCGAAGGCAGCCCCGCUCCUCCUAGCCUUGCUGGCCCCGCUGCUGGCCUUCCCCACCAGAGCACCAGCUUCUUACCAAGAGGAUACAACAACAGAAGCAGAAGCUGCUGGUGAG